rnacentral:tRNA from 1 species
UGGCGAGUGGUGUAAAGGAAACAUCUCUGACUUUGAAUCAGAAGACGCGAAGUUUAUGCAGGUUCGAGUCCUGCCUCGCCAGCCA